UUUAAUUUAUUUAACUGGGAUUUAUAAACCAUAUGUGAAGAUAAUGUGCACAGUAUCUGGUUCAUAUCCUAUUUAAUAAUAGUUAUUCCAGUUGUCGGGUGUUGUCACUUCCGAUUAGAUACGGUAUUGUCAACCAAUAUUGUAACCCUCAUUAAUAAUAAGUUGUUAAGGUAAAUACCUAAUCAUACUAAAUUCAUUACAUAUUUUUUUUUUCUACUGUAAAACCUGCAUUAUCGACAGCAGUGUACUGGCCUAGUACGUCGGAUAAUUAGCUAGUGUAAAAAUUGUAUAUAGGGUAUAUAGGUUUUUUUAUUAAAUGUGGUUGUACAUA
rnacentral:lncRNA from 1 species